rnacentral:rRNA from 1 species
GACGAACCGUGCGAACGUUGUUCGGAAUCACUGGGCUUAAAGGGCGCGUAGGCGGGCCAUCAAGUCAGGGGUGAAAUCCUCCAGCUCAACUGGAGAACAGCUUUUGAUACUGGUGGUCUCGAGUGGGGUGAGGGGCAUGGUGGAACUUCCGGUGGAGCGGUGAAAUGCGUAGAUAUCUGGAGGAAUACCGGGUGGCGAAGGCGGCAUCCUGGACCGAGAUUGACGCUGAGGAGCGAAAGCUAGGGGAGCAA